GUCCACGCCCUAAACUAUGAUCACUCGUUGUUGGCGAUACACAGUCAGCGACUAAGGGAAACCAUUAAGUGAUCCACCUGGGGAGUACGACCGCAAGGUUGAAACUCAAAGGAAUUGACGGGGGCCCCGCACAAGCGGAGGAGCAUGUGGUUUAAUUCGAUGAUACGCUAGGAACCUUACCUGGGCUUGAAAGUUAGUGACCGCUCCUGAAAGGGAGCCUUCCGCAAGGACACGAAACUAGGUGCUGCAUGGCUGUCGU
rnacentral:rRNA from 1 species